rnacentral:rRNA from 1 species
UACGGAAGGUCCUAGCGUUGUUCGGAAUUACUGGGCGUAAAGCGCAUGUAGGCGGAACAAAAAGUUAGAAGUGAAAUCCCUGGGCUCAACCUAGGAAUUGCUUUUAAAACUUUUGUUCUGGAAUUCAGGAGAGGAAAAUGGAAUUUCCAGUGUAGAGGUGAAAUUCGUAGAUAUUGGAAGGAACACCAGUGGCGAAGGCGAUUUUCUGGACUGAUAUUGACGCUGAGAUGCGAAGGCAUGGGUAGCAAACGGGAUUAGAUACCCCGGUAGUCCAUGCAGUAAACGAUGGGUGCUAGUCGUCGGACUUUUGUUCGGUGUCGUAGCUAACGCGUUAAGCACCCCGCCUGGGGAGUACGGUCGCAAGAUUAAAACUCAAAUAAAUUGACGGGGACCCGCACAAGCAGUGGAGCAUGUGGUUUAAUUCGACGCAACGCGAAGAACCUUACCAGCGUUUGACAUGGAAAGUACCGGUUACAGAAUGGUAACCUUCAGUUCGGCUGGCUUUCACACAGGUGCUGCAUGGCUGUCGUCAGCUCGUGUCGUGAGAUGUUGGGUUAAGUCCCGCAACGAGCGCAACCCUUAUCGUUAGUUACUAACAGUUCGGCUGAGGACUCUAGCGAAACUGCCGGUGAUAAGCCGGAGGAAGGUGGGGAUGACGUCAAGUCCUCAUGGCCCUUACGGGUUGGGCUACACACGUGCUACAAUGGUGGUGACAGUGGGUUAAUCCCAAAAAGCCAUCUCAGUUCGGAUUGUCGUCUGCAACUCGACGGCAUGAAGUCGGAAUCGCUAGUAAUCGCGUAACAGCAUGACGCGGUGAAUACGUUCCCGGGCCU